rnacentral:rRNA from 1 species
GACGAACGCUGGCGGCGUGCUUAACACAUGCAAGUCGAACGGAAAGGCCCUGCUUUUGUGGGGUGCUCGAGUGGCGAACGGGUGAGUAACACGUGAGUAACCUGCCCUUGACUUUGGGAUAACUUCAGGAAACUGGGGCUAAUACCGGAUAGGAGCUCCUGCUGCAUGGUGGGGGUUGGAAAGUUUCGGCGGUUGGGGAUGGACUCGCGGCUUAUCAGCUUGUUGGUGGGGUAGUGGCUUACCAAGGCUUUGACGGGUAGCCGGCCUGAGAGGGUGACCGGCCACAAUGGGACUGAGAUACGGACCAGACUCCUACGGGAGGCAGCAGUGGGGAAUAUUGCACAAUGGGCGGAAGCCUGAGACAGCGACGCCGCGUGCGGGAUGACGGCCUGCGGGUUGUAAACAGCUUUCGCCUGUGACGAAGCGGGAGUGACGGUAAUGGGUAAAGAAGCACCGGCUAACUACGUG